UACGUAGGGGGCAAGCGUUGUCCGGAAUUACUGGGCGUAAAGGGCGCGUAGGCGGCCUUCUAAGUCGAACGUGAAAUCCCCGGGCUCAACCCGGGAACUGCGUCCGAUACUGGAAGGCUUGAAUCCGGGAGAGGGAUGUGGAAUUCCAGGUGUAGCGGUGAAAUGCGUAGAUAUCUGGAGGAACACCGGUGGCGAAGGCGACAUCCUGGACCGGUAUUGACGCUGAGGCGCGAAAGCCAGGGGAGCAAAGCGGG
rnacentral:rRNA from 1 species